rnacentral:lncRNA from 1 species
CUCUUCUACUCCAUCCUUAGCAGGCUUGGGGUUUCAUAGAGCAAUAGUUCCUCACCUCUUUGAGAUGAGUAGUAAGUUCCAUUUUCCCAUAAAUUUACAUCAAGAAAAACCACUUUUAUAUAACUAUGAAAAAAUGACAUAACUGCAUGGUACUUAUUUUCAUUGUUGCUUUAAAAAUUUAUAAAUAAGAAACAUAAGCCCAUAACUUCAGCCAUUCAUUUCUCAAUUAUUUCAAGGGACAUAGGUUACACAUGAGGCUGGAGGUACAGGUGAAGGUCAUCCUAACUGGACAGCAGGAAACUGGCCCUGCCAUUAACUACCAAGUAACCUCAGGCAAGUUCUGAACCUCCCUCUCCCUAUCCCCCCUCAAGGGCCUAGGGCUCUGUGACCAUGCACUUCUUCAGGCAGUUGCUUUCAAUAGCGACUCCUCCUGUCUUUAGAUAACCAAAAACAGCCAAAUGAACCAGAAGGAGCCUGGCCCUCUUUGCUCUUUGUUCUUGAGAUCAUCCUAUUACUAGGAAAGUAGCCAAAAGAUAAGCAGCAGACAGAAGGAGGAAGCCCCAUCAGAACAAUCAGUCCCUAAAGUGGAUUUCACCCCAGGUGAGGCAAACCAUGGCUUUAGCCUCCUGCCAUUUGCCCAGAAAGCCUGUGGCUGUCUUUGUAAUUGUCCCUGUCCACAGGACCGUGUCUGCCUUCUGGGUGGCCUGCUUGGCUUUCCUGCCCAACAAAUACCUGUGCUUUAGAUCAGCCUCUUACUGCUCCCCUCCUGAAAUGUGCUUCCUCCCUCCUGCCUGGGGGCCCAGUCAGACCCAGUCUUCCAGGCCACUCAGUCCCCUCCUGUGUCCCUGCACAAUUUUGCUCCUUGGGUCCGUUUCCCGCCUACCGCCAUCUUCACUGAAUCCUCAUAGUGCAUUAUGACAGGGCCUCAGAACAGAAGCCACUAAUUCUCAUUUCCUAGUUUCUUUGAGCUGCUGACAAAAUACCACAGACUGGAUCACAAGCAACAGACAUUAGCUGUUCCCAGUUCUGGAAGCCAGAAAGUAGGACUGAAGAAGAGGGUUUCUAGUAAGAGCCCACUUUCUGUUUUAUAGAUGGUGCCAUCUAGCUGUGCCCUUACCUGCUGGAAGGGGCAGGGGAGCCCUUUGGAGACCUGUUUUAUAAGAGCACUAAUCCAGCUCACAAGGGCUCCACCCUCAAGACCUAAUUACUUCCCAAUCCCACUUC